rnacentral:rRNA from 1 species
CAGCCGCCGCGGUAAUACCGGCGGCCCGAGUGGCGGUCACUAUUAUUGGGCUUAAAGCGGCCGUAGCCGGGGUGGGAAGUCCUCCGGGAAAUCUGGCCGCUUAACGGUCAGAAUGCCGGAGGAUACUCCCAGCCUAGGGAGGGGGAGAGGCCGAGGGGAUUCCCGGGGUAGGGGGGAAAUCCUAUAAUCCCGGGAGGUCCACCGGUGGCGAAGGCGCUCGGCUGGAACGCGGCCGACGGUGAGGGACGAAGGCCAGGGGAGCAAACCGGAUUAGAUACCCGGGUAGUCCUGGCUGUAAACGAUGCGGACUUUGUGUCGGACAAGCUAUGAGCUUGUCCGGUGCCGGAGGGAAACCGUUAAGUCCGCCGCCUGGGGAGUACGGCCGCAAGGCUGAAACUUAAAGGAAUUGGCGGG